AGUCCGAGCCUCCCCCUGGGAGAGGCCACACACUCGGCCAGCUCCUCAGAGUCUGAGCAAGAACGCCUGGCUCAGAAUGCGAGGCUGGAGCGUCCACGAGGGACCGCCCUUCCGGCUUCCUCCUGUUUUACCAACGAGGAACUCCAGGCCUGUGGUGCGUGGCGGCCCGGAGUUCACUGCCGUCGAGUUUCGGUGUCUGAACUGGAUCUCGGUUCUCCUGCUGCAAAGUGCUCCCUUCGCUAUGGGAGCCAUUGGAGAGUUAAACACAGGGGAACGGCAUGCUACAGUCUCUUCACUCUCACCAAACACGCUGUUGUGCAUGAAUGUGGAAGCCGACCCUAAAUCUCUGGAUCACAGUAUCAUAUGCAGGGGUACCAGUGGCUGGGUGAGUAUAGGAUCUGAGCCUUGGGAUGCCUCAUCCCUCUCUCAUUCUUUCCUUGUCCUCCUUGUGGUAGCCUCUACCAGGGAGCUAGACUGCUCAGGCCCAGGUUGUAGGAGGGACCAUAUCCCUCUGUACCAAGUGAGGUCAGAAAAGACACCCAGUUCUCCUCCUUCCAUACUCCCCAACAGCACAGGACUACAGAUGGGCCUGCCCAUGUUCCACCUACUCCCUGAAAGAGGUCUUCCCGCCCGCCCCCCUGCCAGUCCCCUGCUCCAAAAUUUCACUAAAUGGAUUUGCUAUAGUCGGAUGUUUUUCUACAUAGUAUUUUUUUUUUUUUUUUUUUGAGACAGGAUCUCACUCUGUUGCCUGGGCUAGAGUGCUGUGCCAUUGGCCUAGCUCACAGCAACCUCAAACUCCUGGACUCAAGCGAUCCUCCUGCCUCAGCCUCCUGAGUAGCUGAGACUACAGGUGUGCACCACUGCAUCCAGCUAAUUUUUUUCUACUUUUAGUACAGACAGGGUCUCAAUCUUGCUCAGGCUGAUUUUGAACUCCUGAGCUCAAGUGAUCCUCCUGCCUCAGCCUCCCACAGUGCUAGGAUUACAGGUGUGAGCCACCGCGCAGGGCCUUGCAUAAUAUAUUUUGACUCUGUAUUAAAUGAUGUUUAUUCUUUGGAAAUAAGCCUCUGGUGUAUAAAUGUUAAGGACAGUUUUCUCAAGGCUUAAAGUGGAGAAUGAGACCUGUUCAUGCCUGGAUGGAAUUACUGGAAAGGGAAGUUCAAAGAGAGAGUUCUGCUUUGACAAGAGGAUUCUUGGAAAUAUGAUUUUGCUCCAAAAAUAUUUUACUUCAGGAGGAAGAACUGACACUAUUCCAGAAGGAAGUGCACUAUUUAGAAACUCUGGGGAUGGACAAAUGGGGAUGUCUGAUUUUAUAGUUUACAGCAGAGUAGAAGAAAGAUACCAUUAAUCUAUUUUUAGAAAUGCAAUUUUCAUUUGAAACAAUUAUGCAGAGACUG
rnacentral:lncRNA from 1 species